UGCACGAGGCACUGCGGGCCCACCCCCGGCCUCACCUGCGCGCACCUGGACUCAGGCUGGAGUGCCGCGCCCAGUGUCCUGCCGCGUGCGGGAGGAAAUAGUCCCUGGAACGCACGGCAUCCUGGGCCGCCUCCAGGAUGGAUCGCCGAGGGGAACGGCCCCUCCCCCACGUCGGCCCGGAGCGACUGCUGGAGGGACGUAGCCGCGCCGGGUCUUCCCGAAGACGCCCAACCCAGUCCGAGCGGACACACAUGAAUAUCCCCCAGCUCAUGUCCAACCUCAGGAGUCAAGCUCCAGCUGCCAACUCCUGCUAGCAGCCAAGGCACCCUGGAGACAGGCACUACCUGGAGACUCACCGGGCACCUCCAUCAGCAAGGUGUGUGGUCCGCAGCACAGAGAGAUGCUGCAGGGCUGUGGCUGCGAGGACAGUGAAAAUAAGGUGUUGGGGGGGGGGGUCAACUAUCUACAGACUCCUCUGACAUUUCUGAAUCUGCCAUCUAGUUUAGUGUUGCCAGACUUAACAGAUUAAAU